UUUAAAGAGUAUAAAAGGGUGAGAAGUCCUUGCGUUUUCAUCUUCAGCUUCUUUUAGAUUGUUGUACAAACAACCAACAAGCAAAUUAUCAUCAUCACCAUGAAGGCUGUGUUCGCCAUCCUGUUUUUGGCUCUUGUUGCCACCGUCAUGGCUGGUUACUACUAUCCUUAUCAUGGUGGUCACUAUUACGGAGCACACUAUGGUGGUUAUCCUUAUGGACACUUUUACAACUAUAGACACACUCCCUACUAUUCUGGACUUCGUUAUUACGGAAGCUAUGGCUACCCGCAUCACUUCUAAGUUGACCUGAAUCAGUGCUCGUGUUCUGAAGACAUGAUCCGGACGAGUUUUCAUUUGAGCUCCACGAUCAACCUUAUCGUUCAUGUUGUUUUUCUUAAGUUUGUAUAUCAAUGAAUAUGAAAUAUUAAUAAACGAUUAUGAAAA